GAGAGAAAGGUGGUAAGAAAGGAUGGGUAAGGUGGGCAUAGAAGGGUGGUGGCAUGCAUGAAGGCAUGGGAUGGUGUGGGUACUAGUGAGAAAGGUGAGCAAAUAUGGUGGAGAAGUGAGCUAUCGGCAAUGGGCAUGAAGAGAGGGAAGUGGGUAUGCAUGACGGGAUGAAUAAAGAAAUGUCAUGAGGGGAGUAUGCAUGGGCUGUGUGGAUGUGAGAGGGUGGAGAAUAGGCAAACGGGAAGUUAAUGGUGUAGGAUGAGUACAUGAGGUGAUAUGUUUGCAUGGGAACUUAGGUUGGUGAGCAAUGAAGGGUGUGAUGGAAUGGGCUAGUAGUGAAGCCAAGAGAAACCGUGGGUAUGAUUAUGGUGUAGAGAGAGAGUGGUAGGCUGGGUGGGGGUGUGUGAAGGAGAAUACAUCCCGUGGAAAUGAAGACAAAACAAAACCCUCACAUGAUGCAUUAGCAAGCUAAAACAGGGUUGUAUUAUCCUCAAAUCAUCCUAAGAAAAUAAACGAGAUAGCAACAAUGAACCCAUAGAUCAAACAGUAAACUCAAAACUGAACAUAAAAUCAUGCAAUCCACGGGAACUACUGAGAAAAAUAAAAGAACGAGGCUUUAUGCCAAUAAAGUGAAACCCAAAAAUCCACAGUAGUCAUACCUUUCUCUUCUUCUUCCUCAAGCUCUCUUUCUCCUUCUCUCCUGGAUUCCUACCCCCCAAAAAA
rnacentral:lncRNA from 1 species